CCUCCAGCAUCACCAGGGACUGCCUGUUGAGGAUGAGCCCACACAGGAAAAGGAUGAUGGGGGGCACGAACAUGAUCCCCAAGCCAUAUGCCAUGUUGUACUGGGGCAGGCAGGGGCAGCUGAAGUCCAAGCUGGUGUACAUCUUUACACUUGCCAGGGCCAAGAGCCCACAGAUCCCGUUCAUUACAGACUCCGAGUUGGACUGGAAGUACUGGAAGAUCAUCCGGAAUCGGUCCAUGGUGUUCUUUUGGUCAGGGGUGCUCCUCCUGGAAAUCCCUGGGCUGCCCAGAAGGGCCUGUCUCCCUCUGUCCCUCCUUCUGCUGCCACAGGGCAGGGGAUGCAGCUCAGCUUCCAGUCAGCAGGAGGAUGAGGAUGGAAGAGAGCUGCUGUGAUGGGGGGAACACCCUGUGCUGGGGCUUCCCCACUGGCACACAAAUCUCACAGGGCUGAACCACAUGGCCAGCAGUGACAGCCUCCAGUAGUGCCUGGCCCCUCCCUCCCGGAGAUGGUAACUCUCCAUGGAGAGCCAUUGGUGGGUGCCUGUGAGCUGCUCUCUCUGCUGAUUGAAGCCUGUUCAGUGAUUCACUGCCCAGGAGAAACCAGGUGCCAUCUCCUGACCAGGAUGUUGGAGGUCUGUAAAAGAUGCCUCAGGGUAAUCACUGCUCUUUUGUGAUUGGGAUGUCACCAGAGACUCAGAGCUGAGACAUGGAGUUGUUGAGCUGUAGAAGAAAGGGAAUAUUCCUGAACUUGCAGAGAAAGACAUUCAGAGCUUCCUGGGGAAAGAGAGAAAGGCCUGUUGAGGACAAGGGUUCGUGCUUGUUCAAGGCUUAGAGAAGAUUUGUCACCUUGUGUUUGAGUGAAGGCCAUUGCCACUGUAAAUGGCCUUUCCCAGCAGCCCUGCCUGCAGACCCGUUUGUUGUUCCCCUGCAGCUCAGUUUGGGGCCCCAGUCCACCACUGAGGACAGCAGAGCAAUAUCAUUGCCUUCUUUUUCUCCAAAUCUGGUAGAGGAUUUUACUCCUCACUGCCUGGAAAUCAUUCAGCAUCUUCAAUUUGUCACAGCAGAAGUCAAUUUCCAUUUCAACUGCCCAUGAAGAUGAACAUAGGCAGUAUUUCCUCCUAUGCAAACUUCUGAUGGUCACUGGCUGCAGUGACAAAUUACAGCUUUGUUGGCUCCAUGGGCAGGGACCACCUAAAUCUGUGAUUCUGUGGGUAUUUCUGCACAGCUGUGUACUCUGUCCAGGCUAAGUAAAUAAUGAGUAAUGACCAUUAAAUGAUUAAUGAGAUGCUAGCAAAAAUAAUGGCAGCAUUGUAAAAUGUAGUUUAUCUUCACUAAUGAUGUUCUCUGGAGAUCAGAUAUUCCUGUGUUCUGCCUUGUAACUUCAUUAAAGCACCAACAUCCAGCUGACUGCCAGCGAGGAAAUAUGUGGCUUAGUUCUGUGUUGUUCUUCUUAAGAGCUCAUUAUAUAUUGCUGUCCUGGUCAUUAACACUUUGCUUUUUGGCUUACUUAGAAGCUUUAUUUCCUGAUGUCUGCAUUACCCCAAUCUUGACCUAAUUCACACCAUUUCUGACUGAGGGAGUUUUGUAAGGCCAUUUAUCUGCUUGGCUUGGAACUGAUGCUGCAGUGACAUCAUUUGAGAUAGACUCUGUUCUCUGCUAAGAGGGAAUUAAGGAAUAAGAUGGAGAAUAAAGAAAGCAGACUGAUCUCUAAAUAUUGCGGCUCAGAGGAUUAAGCACAGCUGACUGUGUUUUGCAGCCAGGCACAGGGCUGUGAAGCAGCAUCCCAGUAUCACUGCCGUGUCCUGGGGUGCAGGGGCUUUAAAGCUGGGGAGUGAAGGGUGUCUGCAGAGGGAUUGGAGCAGAGCAAAGCCUCGAAACGGCGGGGAAACAGCUUUUCUUGGUGCCACGAAAGCGAUGCAGCGGCGUUAAGCAGCGCUGAAGAGCGAGCCGCUGUCC